ACCUCGGAUCAGGUAGGGAUACCCGCUGAACUUAAGCAUAUCAAUAAGCGGAGGAAAAGAAACCAACAGGGAUUGCCUCAGUAACGGCGAGUGAAGCGGCAACAGCUCAAAUUUGAAAUCUGGCUCUUUCAGGGUCCGAGUUGUAAUUUGUAGAAGAUGCUUUGGGUGUGGCUCCGGUCUAAGUUCCUUGGAACAGGACGUCAUAGAGGGUGAGAAUCCCGUACGUGACUGGGUGCCUUCGCUCGUGUAAAGCUCUUUCGACGAGUCGAGUUGUUUGGGAAUGCAGCUCAAAAUGGGUGGUAAAUUUCAUCUAAAGCUAAAUAUUGGCCAGAGACCGAUAGCGCACAAGUAGAGUGAUCGAAAGAUGAAAAGCACUUUGGAAAGAGAGUUAAACAGUACGUGAAAUUGUUGAAAGGGAAGCGCUUGCAACCAGACUUGCGCGCUGUUGAUCAUCCGGGCUUCUGCCCGGUGCACUCGGCAGCGCUCAGGCCAGCAUCGGUUUCGGUGGGCGGAUAAAGGCCUUGGGAAUGUAGCUUCUUCGGGGAGUGUUAUAGCCCUCGGUGCAAUGCGCCCUAC
rnacentral:rRNA from 1 species